CCGCGUGUGGGAGGACGCCUUUCGGGGUGUAAACCACUGUUGCCCGGGACGAACAUCCUCUUUCGAGGGGACUGACGGUACCGGGUGGGGAAGCACCGGCUAACUCCGUGC
rnacentral:rRNA from 1 species